UACAGGAGGGGCAGCGUUGGUUCGGAAUUACUGGGCGUAAAGGGCUCGUAGGCGGCCAACUAAGUCAGACGUGAAAUCCCUCGGCUUAACCGGGGAACUGCGUCUGAUACUGGAUGGCUUGAGUUUGGGAGAGGGAUGCGGAAUUCCAGGUGUAGCGGUGAAAUGCGUAGAUAUCUGGAGGAACACCGGUGGCGAAGGCGGCAUCCUGGACCAACACUGACGCUGAGUGAGCGAAAGCCAGGGGAGCAAACGGG
rnacentral:rRNA from 1 species